UUUCGCAAAUUUUAUCCUAAUUAAAUUUGUCAUCGAUUGACACUAAUUUGCCCAAAAUCGGAGAGCACCCACUGGGAGACCUCCAUUGUUAAUAAUUAGCUGAAGCAUUAAUUUUGGCAAUUUAGUAUUUCUCGUGGAUUUUCGAAUCCUUGUUAUAAAAGAAAGAAGAAGAAGAACAUCAUCAUUUUAUAACCAUUUUAAGAAAAUCAUGUCAUCGUAACAAAAGUUAGUUAGAUAGCUUAGCUAAUUAUGUAAAUUAGUAAAUAGUUAAUCGUUAUCAAAAAUCCUAGAAAUUUUUAGGAGUAUUAUUACAGUAAAAUCGAGAUGAUUUAGCAACGUGCCAGCCACACGCACGCCGAUCGCAUCACCAAAAUUUAGAAAAAUUUUGUCUCACCAACCAAUUUUUAGAAAUUGGGUAGAUUUUCAAAAAGUAAAAUUUUCUAGACUUUUGUAGCAAACUAAAUUUUAAGAGGUAUUCAUGAUAAGGGGAAGAAUUUAAUAGUAAUUAAUUAAUUGAUUAAUUAAAUAGCAUAUACCAAUUAAUUAAUUAAAUUGGUUACUUAAUAAUUCUUGAAACUCAGGCUUAUCGAAUACCUCAGAAGAAAGAUAAGAAUUUGAUAUUUUAAGUUCUGUGAUGAUGAUGAUUAGAUUUAGAUUUACAUAGAUUCUUGUCAUUUUAAUUAGUAAUUAAUUAUGUACUAAUUAUUAAUUACUUACUAACAACGGGAAAAUUUAGGAACAAAAUUGCCUCCAAAAUUUUACGAGUAGUUAAUUAACUAACUAAUUAACUAACAACCUGCAGAAAUAUCAGGAUCUUUAUGUCCAAAUUAAAUCCUAUCCGUGGUACCUUUAUAAAAAACCUUAAAAUAACUAAUUAAUUACCCACAAAAUUAUACAAUUAAUAUUUUUAUGCGUGAGAGAAAACAAGACAGAGUAUAAAAAAAUGUAAAACAAAAUUUAACAAAUGCACAAUCAUUCGUAAAUAUUAAAAAAAAAUACUUGACUUGGGCCAGGCCAGAGGGGAAUAAUUUCGAAAAUAAUUUGAAACAUCGAAUUGAAUUGAAAAUUUCCACAUUUUUGGGGAAAAGAUGAAUCAUCGUCAAAAUCAUUGAAUGACAACUAAUUUUUGAUCAGAUAAUUUCGGAAAGUUUGAAAAAUUUGUGAUUUUUCUUCCAUAAUUGUUGUAAACGAAUUUUGGGAAGAAUUUUUUUGUGAUGUAAUUAAUAUAUUUAGUUGUAAAUGAAUAGCAGUAUUGAACUGGUGGAUAAGCACGGAAUUCGUAAUUGUAGAAGAUAAUCUUCACGAUAAGUUAAAAGCUUAUCAAGUUAAGAAGGUUGAUUGAUUGAUAUUGUGUGAAAAUCAUGAAUUUCGAAUUUUAUGUAUUGUAUUCCACUAGGAAAAAGAAGUCACUUUUUAGCCGUUGAUAAAAAUUUCUCUCGUUUAGUUAAUUAAGUAGAUUUUAAUUAAUUAAACAUUAAUUAAUCGAUUUAUGGAUGUCAGUUGAGGGUCAAAAUUUGCAAAAAAAAAGAAUAUUUACAAAGCUUAUUACACACACCGACACUGAAAAAACAUGCACUUUUAAAACUUUUUCGGGGCUAAAGUUUUAAAGCAGAAGGAGAGACUGAAAUUAUUAUAUUGUAUGUAAAUCUUUAAAAAAUCUAUACAGU